rnacentral:rRNA from 1 species
UACGUAGGGGGCAAGCGUUGUCCGGAUUUAUUGGGCGUAAAGAGCGUGUAGGCGGCCAGGUAGGUCCGUUGUGAAAACUCGAGGCUCAACCUCGAGACGUCGGCGGAAACCCUCUGGCUAGAGUCCGGAAGAGGAGAGUGGAAUUCCUGGUGUAGCGGUGAAAUGCGCAGAUAUCAGGAAGAACACCCGUGGCGAAGGCGGGCUCUCUGGGACGUACUGACGCUGAGACGGCGAAGCGUGGGAG